rnacentral:rRNA from 1 species
AACGUGGGUAAGAGUAACUGUUUAGCCAGUGACGGUAUUUAACCAGAAAGCGACGGCUAACUACGUGCCAGCAGACGCGGUAAUAUCGUAGGUGGCCAGCGUUAUCCGGAUUUAUUGGGGGUAAACCGAGCGCAAGCGGUCGUAUAAGUCUAAUGUGAAAGCUUUCGGCUCAACCGAAGAAGUGCAUUGGAAACUGGGAGACUUGAGUGCAGAAGAGGACAGUGGAACUCCAUGUGUAGCGGUGAAAUGCGUAGAUAUAUGGAAGAACACCAGUGGCGAAGGCGGCUGUCUGGUCUGCAACUGACGCUGAGGCUCGAAAGCAUGGGUAGCGAACAGGAUUAGAUACCCUGGUAGUCCAUGCCGUAAACGAUGAUUACUAAGUGUUGGAGGGUUUCCGCCCUUCAGUGCUGCAGCUAACGCAUUAAGUAAUCCGCCUGGGGAGUACGACCGCAAGGUUGAAACUCAAAAGAAUUGACGGGGGCCCGCACAAGCGGUGGAGCAUGUGGUUUAAUUCGAAGCUACGCGAAGAACCUUACCAGGUCUUGACAUCUUCUGACAGUCUAAGAGAUUAGAGGUUCCCUUCGGGGACAGAAUGACAGGUGGUGCAUGGUUGUCGUCAGCUCGUGUCGUGAGAUGUUGGGUUAAGUCCCGCAACGAGCGCAACCCUUAUUACUAGUUGCCAGCAUUAAGUUGGGCACUCUAGUGAGACUGCCGGUGACAAACCGGAGGAAGGUGGGGACGACGUCAAAUCAUCAUGCCCCUUAUGACCUGGGGCUACACACGUGCUACAAUGGAUGGUACAACGAGUCGCGAGACCGCGAGGUUAAGCUAAUCUCUUAAAACCAUUCUCAGUUCGGACUGUAGGCUGCGGCUCUCCUACGCGAAGUCGGAAUCGCUAGUAAUCGCGGAUCAGCAUGCCGCGGCUGAAUACGUUCCCGGGCCUUGUACACACCGCCCGUCACACCAUGGGGAGUUUGUAACACCCAAAGCCGGUGGGGUAA